GUAGGUAUAGCUCAGUGAAAGAGCACAUGCUUAGCAUGCAUAGAGGUCCUGGGUUCAAUCCUCAGUACCUCCA
rnacentral:tRNA from 1 species